GGGAAAGUGUCGGCUGCUGUCCAGCAUCCUGUUGCAGACUGCAAUAAAUUGGAUGCACGCUCUGCUGCAGUGGAGCAUGGCAAAGGGAUCUUGGAACCAGCAGUGAGAGAAGCGAAAAAGGAAGACAGAGUCUUGCAACCAGCAGGGGAAGCAGCAAAAAAAGAAGAUGGGGUCUUGCCACCAGCAGGAGGAGAAGCAAAACAGGAAGACAGGGAUUUUCCCUGGGAUUCUGAGCAGAACUGCUAGAAAACAACCCCUUUCACCACUGCUUGGGUCCAUCGGAGCGAACUGUGACACUUAGAAAACAAAAGAAGCAGAUCUCAGCUUCUCGUUCCUGAACUGCCGACAGUGUGAACCGUGAGACCCCAGGCGCCAUCGAUACAGUCUGCAGACAUCGCCCUCUUCGAUCUAUGGCACCAGCAGCAGGUGGAGCAGAGAAUUAAGUCUUUCACACACUGACAUUUGAAUUCCCUGUGACAGUACAAGCCAAGACCUAGGAUUCCUUGUGACAGCAGAACUGAACAAUCUUUGACUGGACAUAAUGGCCUGAGCCAAACAGAGAACCUGGACCAAGAAACAUUUCCAGACCAGUAAACCUAGAGACUGGUAAAGGUACAGAACUCCAGAGGGGUGGAGCAUGGAGUGUGGUAAGGGCUGCACAGAAAGAGGCAGGAGGCACCAGCUCCUAGCAAUUUUUGGAAAGCAAUUCCCAUUGGCUUUAGCAAGGCUAGAAUGUUCCUCCUUAUCUAGAUACUCACAUACUAGGUUCAGCUUACCCCUGUUGCAGAAUCCUGUUCCACAUGCUACUUUGAUGACCUUUGACUGCAACUAGCCUUUCAGACUAGCCUCUUGUGGCAGUUCUAGCUGGUACCCCAGUGAGUGACCUGGUGGCCUGUCAUCCAGAAAGAGAGUUCUGGGUGACUUCUGUCUGCCUAACCUACUGAGUCACACCUCUUCGACUGCGUGAAUACACUUGCAAACUGGACCAAACCAAUAUAAUCUUUACUAAAUCAGGCUCAAAUGGAAAUCACUAUAUAUACUACACGAGAAUGUUUGAAGGUGUUUGAAGGUCACCUGCUUCAAUAUUUUGUUUGGUCUCCAUAAGCAGAGCAGAUAUUCUUGCUUCAUCUUUAACCAGGAAGCUGACUGUACAGCAAGUUUUACAAUCUUUAUGGUCCUAGACUACCAGGUGUUUCUUAAGAGUCACUAAAGAGGAUUGCAUUGUUUUCAGAUUAUCUAACUAAAGGCAUAAUUACAAGGCCUCAACUUAGUUAAUUUUUAUUCUACUUUGAAACAAUGGAUGUCCAGUGCUGCAACUGGACUCUGGAUUGUGUAGUUGGUGUUUCGUACCCAGGAAACACAGGUAAACUCUUAUAAACUCUUUCAACCCACUUACCAGUAAAUAAUUUUUUCUAGG